rnacentral:rRNA from 1 species
GACGAACGCUGGCGGCGUGCUUAACACAUGCAAGUCGAACGGAAAGGCCCCUUCGGGGGUCCUCGAGUGGCGAACAGGUGAGUAACACGUGAGUAACCUGCCCUUGACUUCGGGAUAACUUCAGGAAACUGGGGCUAAUACCGGAUAGGAAUCCUUGCUGCAUGGUGGGGGUUGGAAAGCUUCGGCGGUUUUGGAUGGACUCGCGGCUUAUCAGCUUGUUGGUGGGGUAGUGGCUUACCAAGGCUUUGACGGGUAGCCGGCCUGAGAGGGCGACCGGCCACAUUGGGACUGAGAUACGGCCCAGACUCCUACGGGAGGCAGCAGGGGGGAAUAUUGCACAAUGGGCGGAAGCCUGAUGCAGCAACGCCGCGUGCGGGAUGACGGCCUUCGGGUUGUAAACCGCUUUCAGCAGGGGCGAAGCUUGUGGUGACGGUACCUGCAGAAGAAGCACCGGCUAACUACGUG